rnacentral:rRNA from 1 species
GACGAACGCUGGCGGCGUGCUUAACACAUGCAAGUCGAACGGACAGGCCCUGCUUUUGUGGGGUGCUCGAGUGCCGAACGGGUGAGUAACACGUGAGUAACCUGCCCUUGACUUUGGGAUAACUUCAGGAAACUGGGGCUAUUACCGGAUAGGAGAUCCUGCUGCAUGGUGGGGGUUGGAAAGUUUCGGCGGUAGGGGCUGGACUGGAUGGUUAUCCGCUUGUUUGUGGGGUAGUGGCUUCCCAAGGCUGUGACGGGUAGGCCGCCUGAGAGGCUGGCCGGGCACAUGGGGACUGAGAGAGGCCGCAGACGCCAACGGGAGGCAGCGGGGGGGAGCAUGGCACAGUGGGCGGAAGCCUGUGGCAGCAACCCCGCGUGCGGGAUGACCGGCUUCGGGUUGUAAACAGCUGUCGCCGGUGAUGAAGCGGGAGUGACGGUAAUGGGUAAAGAAGCACCGGCUAACUACGUG